rnacentral:rRNA from 1 species
UACAGAGGGUGCGAGCGUUAAUCGGAAUUACUGGGCGUAAAGCGCGCGUAGGCGGCUUUGCAAGCCGGAUGUGAAAUCCCCGGGCUUAACCUGGGAACUGCAUUCGGGACUGCAUUGCUAGAGUAUGGGAGAGGGAAGUGGAAUUUCAGGUGUGAGCGGUGGAAUGCGUAGAGAGUCGGGAAGAACAUCAGUGGCGAAGGCGGCCUGCUGGGCGUGUUGCUG